rnacentral:lncRNA from 1 species
AGUAGGGGAUUGGACUAGAUGAUCUCCUGAGGUCCCUUCCAACCCUGAUAGUCUAUGAUUCUAAGUAGAGCUGGCGAGUCCCACCCUACCAUGCUACCUUGCCUUGUGUGCACCAGUGCAUUCUGGGAAAAUCUGAGCAUUUAAAGGGCCUGAUUCUCCAUUGUCUCUCCCCUUGUGGAGUCAUUUAUAUCUGGGCAAAAGUGGGUGUGAAAAUGUUCCAGGUUACCCGCUCUGCGCAGGAGCGAAGAGCUGCCCAUUGGCGUGUCACUGUGCUGCAUGGGCAGCAGGACCAACCGAACCAGCCCCACAGGCGCAGUCAGAAGGUCCUGUCUAGGCUGCACAAAACAGCGCAUGCCAAGCUGGCUCCAUGUGCUAGCCUAGGGCUCUGGCAGGGUGUUGGCACUAACUUACUUAGAGUCACCCAUGCCAGGAGCUGGUUACAACUGGUUCAGUUCUAGCCUCUCCUAUCAACCUCCCCGCCACACACACACGCUGCUCCACCAAUAGCUAUUCCCUUUAGACUGGGCUCCAGUCACGUUGCUCGGUUUUGAUGGCCAUCCAGCCUGUCCGAUCCAAUCAUUGUUUUCCCCUCGGAAGGGCAGGAAGCCUUGUGACAGCCCAGUGUGCUGGGGCUCUUCCUCUGUGGAUUUGUACAGGCACUGAGGAGGCGGUGACCUCUACCCUCUGUCGGCUUUUCCCCGAUGAUGUCAUCCUGCCUCUUAGCUCACUUCCCGUUCCACAUCUCCAGCCAACCAGUUAGCAGAUUCCACCGGAGGUCACAGCUGUCUCCAUGAGCGCACCCCCCCCCCUCGCCCUCCCGCCACAGAGUCCUUUAGAUCUUGCACAACAGCAGGAAAAGGGGAAAGUUACAGUUCAUAGCAGAGACGCUGGGCCAAAUUCUGCACUCAGUUACACCAGCUUCAUCACACUGACGUCCAUGGAGUUACUGAGUCUUUUCCACCAUCUGGUGGAAAUCUGACCCCCUGAAGCCAACACAUUUUACUCCCGCGUUGCUGAGAGCACAGUCCGGCCUAUUGGCAUUAUUCAGGAUUUACAACUGUGUAACUGGGAUCAGAGUUGUAUAACUGUGGUUCUCUAGAUCCGCAGCUUUGUAGCAAGCUUGAUGUCCCCACGUCCCCACCGAGGCCUCGGAGGGACCCAAAUGUAGCAGCGGCUGCUGCUGUAGUGGCAACCACACCUCUCGAGCAUCUCCCAAAUAUUGGACAGUUGCCACCUGCUUGCUGUCCUGCCUGGACUGGUUAACACUGAGCUGGCUGUAAUCUGGAAUCUCAGGCUGCUUAAUGGUAAUGGCCAGAGACUCCAUUUUGUCUGGAUUAAUAACCAGACCAAUGCACACUGCUUCUUGCCGCACCAGCUUGGCCAUUUGAGAUCUCGGAGUAGAAUGGCGUUCAGCCCUGCGCCAGCGACAGCUGCCUUUAUCCAUUAGCCAGUCAGUGC